rnacentral:rRNA from 1 species
CCUACGGGAGGCAGCAGUGAGGAAUAUUGGUCAAUGGGCGCGAGCCUGAACCAGCAAAGCAGCGUGAAGGAUGACUGCCCUACGGGUUGUAAACUUCUUUUAUAAAGGAAUAAAGUGAGGCACGUGUGCCUUUUUGUAUGUACUGUAUGAAUAAGGAUCGGCUAACUCCGUGCCCGCAGCCGCGGUAAUACGGAGGAUCCGAGCGUUAUCCGGAUUUAUUGGGUUUAAAGGGAGCGUAGAUGGGUUGUUAAGUCAGUGGUGAAAGGUUGCGGCUCAACCGUAAAAUUGCAAUUGAUACUGGCAGUCUUGAGUACAGUUGAGGUACGUGGAAUUCGUUGUGUAGCGGUGAAAUGCUUAGAUAUCACGAAGAACUCCGAUUGCGAAGGCAGCUUACUAAACUGCCACUGACAUUGAUGCUCGAAAGUGUGGGGAUCAAACAGGAUUAGAUACCCCUGUAGUC